GCAAACUAAGCAGCAUCUCCAAAAUGUCAGGAGUGAGUUGACCAAGGCAAAGUGUUUAAAUCGAGUAAUACAAAGCAAACAGCAAACAAAAAGAAUGCAGAAGGCUUCACUUGCAGCUAGAGGCCUUGGUAAUUCUGGAGCUGUCACUCUCUUUAAUGGAGCAUCUACUAUGUCAUAACCCUGUGACAGGUGCUGAGAGGUGAUAGGAGGCUGUGAAAGAAAAGCUGAGCUGGAUAAGGCUUUGUGCAUCUUGCUGAGGACCUAAGGGGUGAAGGCUGAAACAGGCUUCUAACCUAGUUAGGACACAGUGAAAAUAAAGGUGAAGACACUGAGGCUGGAAAAGUGAAGUCUUGAUCAGGACAUCUCUAUGUAAUCUUGCUGGAAUCCGGCAUACACUUGAGACAGAAGAACAAUGUGAGGAAACUGAGCAAAAUGACUGAUGUAAGCACUAAGAGCUCUUGGAGUUGAGACAAUGGGGAAAUCAAUACAGGUUACAGCAUUCAAGCAUUCAGCAACAUUUUUCAAGCAACUGUUGGAUAAACAGUACCCUACUAGGUACUGUUUAGCAAUGGGCCCACAUCCAGUGCAGAAGACAAACCUACAAAUGAAGAAUUGCAAUACAAUGAGAUCCAUGUUUAGGUACUCAAGAUACUCUGGGGUGAUGUGCUUCACCAGGGAGUGGUCAGAGGUUUCACGAGUCCAGAAGGAAUAUUUUUCCUACCAUAUUAAUGUAACUGGAUGGGAAAUUCAACUAAUAAUGCAUCCCUGUUAUGCCCUGUUUUAAAAAGAGUAUGGGAAGGAACCCAAAGGAACCACAAGAGCCAAAGCCUGCUAGAUCUUAAGAUCUGUGAAGGGAAUUUGACCAGCACACAAGUGGACAGACAAGAGGGCCAAAGACAAUUUGACCAGUCUGUCUGCUGGCAAAGACCAGAGCUCUCUCCAUAUCAAGAAUAUUAACACUCUUGGGGCACCUGGGUGGCUCAGUCGUUGAGCGUCUGCCUUCGGCUCAGGUCAUGGUCCCAGGGUCCCGGGAUCGAGCCCCGCAUCGGGCUCCCUGCUCAGCGGGGAGUCUGCU